UUGCUUCGGUAAUUGACCUAGCGGCGGACGGUGAGUAAUACUUAGGAAUCUGCCUAUUAAUGGGGGACAACAUCUCGAAAGGGAUGCUAAUACCGCAUACGCCCUACGGGGGAAAGCAGGGGAUCACUUGUGACCUUGCGUUAAUAGAUGAGCCUAAGUCGGAUUAGCUAGUUGGUGGGGUAAAGGCCUACCAAGGCGACGAUCUGUAGCGGGUCUGAGAGGAUGAUCCGCCACACUGGGACUGAGACACGGCCCAGACUCCUACGGGAGGCAGCAGUGGGGAAUAUUGGACAAUGGGGGGAACCCUGAUCCAGCCAUGCCGCGUGUGUGAAGAAGGCCUUAUGGUUGUAAAGCACUUUAAGCGAGGAGGAGGCUCCUGUAGUUAAUACCUACAGUGAGUGGACGUUACUCGCAGAAUAAGCACCGGCUAACUCUGUGCCAGCAGCCGCGGUAAUACAGAGGGUGCGAGCGUUAAUCGGAUUUACUGGGCGUAAAGCGUGCGUAGGCGGCUUUUUAAGUCGGAUGUGAAAUCCCCGAGCUUAACUUGGGAAUUGCAUUCGAUACUGGGAAGCUAGAGUAUGGGAGAGGAUGGUAGAAUUCCAGGUGUAGCGGUGAAAUGCGUAGAGAUCUGGAGGAAUACCGAUGGCGAAGGCAGCCAUCUGGCCUAAUACUGACGCUGAGGUCCGAAACCAUGGGGAGCAAACAGGAUUAGAUACCCCCCUAGUCCAUGCCGUAAACCAUGUSUACUAGCCGUUGGGGCCUUUGAGGCUUUAGUGGCGCAGCUAACA
rnacentral:rRNA from 1 species